rnacentral:rRNA from 1 species
UACGGGGGGAGCAAGCGUUGUUCGGAUUUACUGGGCGUAAAGGGCGCGUAGGCGGUCAGCCCAAGUCAGUUGUGAAAUUUCGGAGCUCAACUCCGAAACUGCAUUUGAUACUGCGGUGCUUGAGGACUGGAGAGGAGACUGGAAUUCACGGUGUAGCAGUGAAAUGCGUAGAUAUCGUGAGGAAGACCAGUGGCGAAGGCGGGUCUCUGGACAGUUCCUGACACUGAGGCACGAAGGCCAGGGGAGCAAACGGG